GUCCACGCCGUAAACGAUGGGCACUAGGUGCUUAGGGGAGCGACCCUCUGAGUACCGGCGCUAACGCAUGAAGUGCCCCGCCUGGGGAGUACGGCCGCAAGGCUGAAACUCAAAGGAAUUGACGGGGGCCCGCACAAGCGGUGGAGCAUGUGGUUUAAUUCGACGCAACGCGCAGAACCUUACCUAGGCUUGACAUGCAUGGGAAAGCUGGUGGAAACACUGGCCCCUCUUCGGAGCCCAUGCACAGGUGCUGCAUGGCUGUCGU
rnacentral:rRNA from 1 species